rnacentral:sRNA from 12 species
AGCCUAACCCUAUAAAUCUAUAGGUAUGGUCAAAAGACCCAACGAAGAUACUAAACCACACGUUUAGCAACUCUUCGUUGGGCUAUAUCUGGAAACAGGUAUAGGAUCGUAAGACC